rnacentral:rRNA from 1 species
UACGUAGGGGGCAAGCGUUAUCCGGAUUUACUGGGUGUAAAGGGAGCGUAGACGGUUACGCAAGUCUGGAGUGAAAGGCGGGGGCCCAACCCCCGGACUGCUUUGGAAACUGUAUAACUGGAGUGCAGGAGAGGUAAGUGGAAUUCCUAGUGUAGCAGUGAAAUGCGUAGAGAUUAGGAAGAACACCAGUGGCGAAGGCGACUUACUGGACUGUAACUGACGCUGAGGCACGAAGGCCAGGGGAGCGAAAGGG